rnacentral:rRNA from 1 species
UACGGAGGGUGCAAGCGUUGCUCGGAAUGACUGGGCGUAAAGGGCGCGUAGGCGGCUGUUACAGUCAGAUGUGAAAUUCCUGGGCUCAACCUGGGGGCUGCAUUUGAUACGUGAUGGCUGGAGUGGGGAAGAGGGUCGUGGAAUUCCGGGUGUAGUGGUGAAAUGCGUAGAGAUCCGGAGGAACACCAGUGGCGAAGGCGGCUCGCUGGGCUCUACCUGACGCUGAGGCGCGAAAGCGUGGGGAGCGAACAGG